UACGAAGGGGGCUAGCGUUGCUCGGAAUCACUGGGCGUAAAGGGUGCGUAGGCGGGUCUUUUAAGUCAGGGGUGAAAUCCUGGAGCUCAACUCCAGAACUGCCUUUGAUACUGAGGAUCUUGAGUUCGGGAGAGGUGAGUUGGAACUGCGAGUGUAGAGGUGAAAUUCGUAGAUAUUCGCAAGAACACCAGUGGCGAAGGCGGCUCACUUGGCCCGAUACUGACGCUGAGGCACGAAAGCGUGGGGAGCAAACAGG
rnacentral:rRNA from 1 species